CUACGGGUCGCAGCAGUGAGGAAUAUUGCACAAUGGGGGGAACCCUGAUGCAGUAACGCCGCGUGGAGGAUGACGCAUUUCGGUGUGUAAACUCCUUUUAUAUGUCAAGAAAAUGACGGUAGCAUAUGAAUAAGCACCGGCUAACUCCGUGCCAGCAGCCGCGGUAAUACGGAGGGUGCAAGCGUUACUCGGAAUCACUGGGCGUAAAGGACGCGUAGGCGGGUUGGAAAGUCAGGUGUGAAAUCCUACAGCUUAACUGUAGAACUGCACUUGAAACUUCUAAUCUAGAGUAUGGGAGGGGGAGAUGGAAUUAGUGGUGUAGGGGUAAAAUCCGUAGAUAUCACUAGGAAUACCUAAAGCGAAGGCGAUCUCCUGGAACAUUACUGACGCUAAGGCGUGAAAGCGUGGGGAGCAAACAGGAUUAGAUACCCUCGUAGUC
rnacentral:rRNA from 1 species